rnacentral:misc_RNA from 1 species
GAUGAAGAACGUAGCGAAAUGCGAUACUUGGUGUGAAUUGCAGAAUCCCGUGAACCAUCGAGUCUUUGAACGCAAGUUGCGCCCGAAGCCAUUAGGCCGAGGGCACGCCUGCCUGGGCGUCACACGUCGUUGCCCCCCCAUCUACUCCUUCGGGAUUGCGGGGGGCGGAUGAUGGCCUCUCGUGCGCCUCGUCGCGCGGUUGGCCUAAAUGCCAAGUCCUCGGCGACGCACGCCACGACAAUCGGUGGUUGCGAAACCUCGGUUGCCUGUCGUGUGCGGUCGUCGCGCAUCGAGGGCUCGAAAAAAUUGCCGGGCUUCGGCUCGACUUUCAACGCGACCCCAGGUCAGGCGGGGUUACCCGCUGAAUUUAAGCAUAUCAAUAGCGGAGA